AAAAUAAAGAAACGGAGAAAGAGGAAAAAAAAA
rnacentral:sRNA from 1 species